rnacentral:rRNA from 1 species
CUUGCUGCUAUAGAACUUAUGGAAGAACGUGGGCCUCUUGAUCCUGACAUUCUAGACAAGCGUGCUACAUUGAGUGGUGAGUUGCAACAGCUCAUGGUUAAUGAGGAGCUAUUGUGGCUCCAGCAAUCCCAUGAGACAUGGUUGUUGAAAGGAGACUAGAACACUGCCUUUUUCCAUAGGAUUGCCAAUGGAAAGAAAAGAAAGAAUACCAUCCACUCCUUUUCAUAUGGUGAUACUGUGAUUGAGGGGAUAUAUAACUUACUCAGACACGCUACAGGAUUCUACAAAGAACUCUUCGGACAAGCUCCGGGGAACAGUUUUCAUCAAGAUCCAAAAACCCGGGGGGAUGAUGAAAAGCUAACAGCUGAUGACAAUGAAAUUUUGACUAGACCUUUUAGUGAGGAAGAGGUUAAGAAUGCCUUAUUCUCCAUGGACAGCAAUAGAGCCCCUGGUCCGGACAAUAUUCCACCAGAAUUCUACCGAUUUUGUUGGGAUAUUAUCAAAUAG